AGUGUGUGCCUGUAUGUUGCCUAAUGGUCUGAAAAUAGGUUUUAACUAUGUUUUUGAUGAUCAACUUACGCAAAUGAAAUACAACUUGUUCUAAUUUGCUCGUUUACUUUUGAUAAAGAUUCAGGUUUUUGGUUUGAAAAUAGGAUUAAGUUAUGUUUUUGAUAAUUAACGUACGUAAAUGAAAUACAACUUCUUCUGAAUUCCUAAUUUACUUUGGAUGAAGAUUUAGGAUUUUGGAAGAACUUUUCUUGGAGUUGAAAAACAAGCCGAUUACAAGUUAUUUUUGGAGUGUAAAGCAGAACACUACAAUGCCUAGGCAUUAUUGCCAAAUCCAUCGAUGGCAUGAGGCAUGGAACUUUUACGAGGAAUAUGAUGUAAUAAAACAUUUGAGAACCUUACUCAGUGUCCCUCGACAGGAUCCCGACUUUGUGGUCUGCUUCUCAAAAAGAUAGCAUUCUGGUGCAGGAGAUGUGCUUAUUUAUCAUUAUUUAUUUAUUUUAUAUUGAUUAUUUAUUGUACAUUCAUCUUUGUUUUUUUAAAAUUCAUCUUUAUUUACUAAAUCAUUAUUGUUACUAUUUUUAUGGCUUUAUGAAGAUAAAAUAUCUAUUAAACCAUGAAUGAUGAGUGUGGUACCACCAUUUCUAUUCUGUUCAGACUUCCAAUAUUUACACAAAGGGUCCACUCAAAGCAGAUAAUGUAACAAGACUGAAGUUCUUUUCUUUUCUUUUUUUUUCGACAUUAAACAUCACCUAUCUGCCCACUAAUCUAAGGAAUGAAUAUAAUCUAUUUUUUUUUUUUUUUUUUUGAGAUCAGUUUUCUUAAGCAUUCAAUAAAAAAUACAUACUGGUAUAUUUUACUUAAAAUACUCACAACGAGUAUUAAAAAUAUUUAUCACUCUCAUUUUGUGUUUAAAAUUUGUUUUAAAAAAUGCAGGUAAAAUGUCAUUUCUGUACCUUGUCCACAACAUGCGUUCUAUCGAUUUUCCAGCAAGUUUACUGUAUAAUGAAGCUGUGUUAAAAAUGUAUACAUACAAGUAUUAUACGUAAAAUAGCAUAAGUCUAAUUAAAUGUGUCAAAUCAAUACUCCUAAAAUCAUUCCACAUUUUGUAUAUGUGUCCAUAGAUACUGCCAUUAGUACAAAAGAAAAGAAAAAUAGAUCUUAAUAUACAUAUUACAGUGUUAGUUAGCCACUUGAAUUCCCCCCUUUUUUAGCCUACUUUCCCAGUAAAAGUCGGAAAAAGAAGAAAAAAGCAUGAAAGAAGGCUUAAUGCAUCUUAAAAAUAUCGCGAAAAACAAAAAAAAAAGUCAAAAAUAAACAAAAUAAUUAAAUAAAUAUCGAAAAAUUAAAAAUUGGAAAGUAGGGUAUUGAGAUGGGGAAAAAUGUCUGUCGGUCUGUCUGUCGGUCGGUCUGUCUGUCUGUCCCCCCCUAAUAACUUUCGAAUGAAUAGUCCGAUUCGAACAAACUUUUUUUUGUUCGAAAGAUCUCGGCAAGGACACCUCAUUCCCAUAUUUCACUUUUUGAUUUGAAGUAUUUUUUGUUCAAUUUUGAACAGUUCAAAAAAACUUAACAUUAGCACAUACGGGGAAAUUCAAGGCAAUUGCGAACUGUGAGGCGAAUUUGCUUCAAACAAACUUUGUAGGAAAAAGCUUUUGAUGAAAAACCUGUAUAUAAAAUAUCUUUUUGAUUUGAACAAUUUUCCGUUCAAUUUUGAACAGUUCAAAUCCUUUAACAUUAGCGCCUACGGGGAACUGAAAGUCAAUGUAGAUUCCGUACUUGAAGGCGGAUUUACUUCAAAUAAACUUUGUUGGAAAUAGCUCUUAACGACCUACUCCCGACUCCGAUAAUUUUGGCGCACCUGACUCCGACUCCUGUGCCUGAAAAUUACUCGGACUCCGAUUUCCCGACUUUGAAUCUGACUUCGUAGCUUUGGCAAAAAUUUAUACACGAAGGACAAAUGACUGACUCCGAUUCUUAGAUAUUCGACUCCGACUUCUUUACCCCAAAAUGAGAUUGACUCCGACUCCGCAGUUAUGGUUUUGACUGUGAAAUAAUUAUUGUUGAUUUGACUUGUUUUUAUUUUUACGCUAAAGUUUUAAUUUAGGUAUUCAAGUUUCGGCGAAUAAACUCGAAGUCAUAUAUGUUUCUACAUAAAGAUAUGCGCAGACGAUUUUUUUUUUUGACAAUGAAAAUUCUUUCUUUAAGUUGACAUUUUAUUGUUUUUAUUUAUUUUGCUAAGUGCAUUAAUUCAUUUGAAAAACUGUUUUUGGCAACUGGGAAAAAGAAACUAUUUUUUUUUUUUUUUUGAUAUGAAGUAUUUAUUUUAAUGAGCUUAUUAAUUUUAAUAAGUAUUUUUUCGUUUUGAAAGCUGUUAAAGAUUUUUUUAAUGGAAAAAAGUGUAUUAGCUGCUUUGUUUAAAAGUUGCUGCUAUUUUAUUUGUUCAGUUUUUUUUUUUUUUUUUUUUUACGCAUCUAAUUUUUUAGAUGAGUGAGGAAUGUUUUAUUCCUAGAAAUCAGCUUAAAGUAUUUUAAAAAUAUGUUUGAAAACAUUUGCAAUUGUAGCUAUUUUUGAGAAUGUUGAUCAGGUACUAGAAAGUAGUAUGGGUAUACGGGAAAGUAGGCUCGUCUAGUUCUAGACAGAACUUCUUGUUAAUCUUAAGUAAGCCAUGCAUAAUUUUAUUUUGAAUGUGAACUAUAGUUGAAUUUUGAUAAAAAUAAACAUUUAGUGGUUAAUUAGUUCUAUUGAGAUCCCUGGUAAUUCCUAUUGUUAAUUAAAUUUUAAAUGUCCUGUUUAAAUGUUGUUUAAUUAGUUCAGAAUAUUUUGUCUUAUAGAAAUAGUUUUAAUUUUUAAAAUAUGUAGAAUAAAACAGAUGUUAAAAAAAAUUUUUUUAAAGUAAACUUUUUUUUUUGGUCCCUCUUAGCAAUUUAAUUGAAGUUUGCUACUCUCACUUUAUCCUUCGUAAAAUUUGAAUACUAAUAAUUGUUUUUUAACUGAGUAGUGCUUUCAUAUUACGUUAAUACAAUAAACUGUUUUCUAAUUAGUUUUUAUUUUGAAAUAUUUUCAGUCUACACUUACAUAUUUUUUGUUUUAACUUCUAAUAAAUAGAAAUUUGGAUACCAACUGCAAAAAAGCAUUUUUUAUGUAGUCUGAUCCAAAGUUUCAGUUUACUACUUAUUUCAGUUUCUUAACUCAAGAUAUGCUACAUAAAUGAGAGAAAGUCAAUGGGGGAAAAUACCAGUGUAAAAAAAUGUAGUAUAAAAUUAAAGGAACAUUCCUGAAAGCGAGAUUAUGUGUAGCAACGUAAUAAAUGGGCCAUAGUGCCCAAUUUCUUUCUUUCUUCUUCUGUACAACAGACAAAUAAAUGAAAUAAGCAAAAUAUGUUCUGAAAUGUUAGGGAAUGAUCUUAUUUAUAAAAAAUAUUACAUAAAAAAAAGUCUUGAAACAAAGCAAAAUUAUGUUAAAAAUAAAGUUAUUGUAAUUUCUGACCCGUCCUUACUGCUCCUUGAAACAGAAGUCGCAAUUUAAAUGAGCAACUUUUUCAUUUAAAAUUAAAAAUAUGUGUUUAUUUACAAAAUUUGAUCCCCUUAAAUGCACUUAGGUACUAUUAAAACAUACAAAAAGGUUUUGCUAACGUACAACACCAAAAAAUUCUUGAGAAUUAUCAAAAUUCAAAAUAUUUCUUCACAAUUGUUGCCAUAUUUUUUUAAAACAUACUAUUGAAAUUUGAAUCAACAUUACUUAAAAUAAAGUCUUUUGUCUAACUUUUCAAUUUUAAUUACUUGAAAAAAAAUCUUUUCCUGAGUUUGUGAAGCAUUCAAGUUGGGACAGUCGUUAAUUUUUUUCAUGAAAGUUGAAUUUAAAACCAUUGCUAAAUUUGGACAGUAAACCCUCAUUAAUCCAGACCCAAUUAAACCUGUCUUUGCUUAAUCUGAACAAUCAUUUAUGUGUACAUGCUGUAUAAAUGAAAGGCCGUUUAGAGCAAUGUAUUUUUGUUGGCUGUAUUUUGUAUUUUUAUAUUUUUCUCUUACGCAGUUUUAUAUUUCAUUGUCUUGAGUUCAAAAUUUUACUGUGUAGAGUAGUUUGUUUAUGCACCUUGGCUGAAUUUGUAGGUUAAUUUGUUUUAUCCAUACUUUCAUUAAUUCAGACGACUUGGAUCCCGUAUUAGUUACUACAUUUAGAUAUAGACCAUUGCAUGGUUUUCAUAUAAGAAUUAAAUUAUGAGAUUAUGAGAUGAAUGUUUCAACUUACCAUAGGCAAAAGUUAAUGAACUCGUAAAAUCACCCAUGUAAGUAUUUUUUAUAUUGUAUCCCCUUUUGGUUAUGAGAAAUAACAUAAACAUGUUUAAAAUUGAAUAUUU